rnacentral:rRNA from 1 species
UACGUAGGGUGCGAGCGUUGUCCGGAAUUAUUGGGCGUAAAGAGCUCGUAGGCGGUUUGUUGCGUCUAUCGUGAAAACCUGCAGCUUAACUGUGGGCUUGCGGUGGAUACGGGCAGACUUGAGUUCGGUAGGGGAGACUGGAAUUCCUGGUGUAGCGGUGAAAUGCGUAGAUAUCUGGAGGAACACCGGUGGCGAAGGCGGCAUCCUGGACCGACACUGACGCUGAGGCGCGAAAGCUAGGGGAGCAAACGGG